rnacentral:rRNA from 1 species
GAUGAACGCUAGCUACAGGCUUAACACAUGCAAGUCGAGGGGAAACGAUAUUGGAAGCUUGCUUCCGAUAGGCGUCGACCGGCGCACGGGUGAGUAACGCGUAUCCAACCUGCCCACCACUUGGGGAUAACCUUGCGAAAGUAAGACUAAUACCCAAUGAUAUCUCUAGAAGACAUCUGAAAGAGAUUAAAGAUUUAUCGGUGAUGGAUGGGGAUGCGUCUGAUUAGCUUGUUGGCGGGGUAACGGCCCACCAAGGCAACGAUCAGUAGGGGUUCUGAGAGGAAGGUCCCCCACAUUGGAACUGAGACACGGUACAAACUCCUAUGGGAGGCAGCAGUGAGGAAUAUUGGUCAAUGGACGAGAGUCUGAACCAGCCAAGUAGCGUGCAGGAUGACGGCCCUAUGGGUUGUAAACUGCUUUUAUAAGGGAAUAAAGUGAGCCUCGUGAGGCUUUUUGCAUGUACCUUAUGAAUAAGGACCGGCUAAUUCCGUGCCAGCAGCCGCAGUAA